CCUUCCCCUUUUCAAGAUGCAAUAACAGCCGUCCGAUUAUGCCACCCACUCAUUUCCAGCCGUUGGAUCAUCAACCGCCUAAAAUAAAUACACAUCAAUUCAUUGCAUUUCAUCUUUGCAUCUAUUCAUUUCAAUAGCCGCCUCGAUCUACAGGUGUCGAUCCUCUUUCCUCAACCAGAUUAUUUUCUACUCUUUUUUCCGUCAGAUUCAUUCAGAUCUGCGUUGUGGUUAUGGUUUAUACGAGUUUUGUUCGCCGCUGGUUUUUCUGUUUGAAAUAUCGGUCGCCUGGUUUAUGCACUAGCUGCAGAUGUGAAACGUAGCCUCUUAUGCGGCGGUGAAACGCCGAGGUUUUGCUAGAUCUGCAACCGUGUUUGAUGGAUCGUUGAAGAUUCGUUUUUCCGGGAUUGAUUGGAAACAUCAAUUUUCUGGAUCUGAAAAUACAAAGGCAUCUUCAGAAGGCAUCGAUUCGUUUGACGAUGGUCACUAUCGGUGUGGAGUCAUCUCGAGUUUAUCUGUAUGGCUCUGUUGCAGCAGCUGAGUUAUUCAAGGGAGGUGAAUUGUUUUGUGUUGUGUUAUUUCAUAUGUUCUUGUUGUCUGUAGACUCGGCGAACUGUUGAGGUAUCAGACUGUAAAAAAAAAGGAAAAUGAGUGAGCGAAGUCAGGUGAUAUGUGAAAAGUGAGGUGAGAUGUGGUUGUCUGCAUGACCUUUGCCAUGAUGGGUGCGCUCGCAUGGCAGGUCGCCCGUUAAUAAAAGUUCAUUUUUUGGUUUUGAGGGGAGAUGGUACGGGAUUUUGCCCGGCUCUCCCCUGUGUGUGUGGUGUCCUCUCGUCUCUCCGUCCCCCCUCUCUGCCCUCUUUUCUUUUCUUUAUUUUUUACCCAUACGAAGCUCAAAUCCAAUCACGCCAAAAAAAUUGUUUUGGUCUUGAGUUGGUUGCAUACCAUAUAAUAAAACAUACAACCAAUUCAAGACCAAAUCAUGUCACAUAUUUGAAAGCGAUCAAGCAAUUUUGAGGGUUAAGUUUUCUUCUCAACAUCCACUUAUCAGCAUCCACCACAACAGAGGUACCAAUAUGCACUUUCUCAGUAUCUGAUUAUCUUGUUCACUUGCAUAUCUUUAACAUUCUCAAUUCUUUUAUUAGUACUAAUACUUUUCUGGUAACUAGGAACAUUUUAGUGGCUUUGUUUACUAGUUCAAAUUAUCAUACAGUUAUUGCCGAUUACUGAAAUGGCGCUUUCGUUUAUACUGUUUUCACUUACUCCCAUAAUAACAAUACACUGUUGUUCUAAUCACUGGAUUUAGCUAUAUCAAUUUGGAAAUCUUUUUUAUUCAACUUUGGAUUGACUGUAAAUAGUGAAUAACUGGAUAACAUAUAGUAGUAAUACAUAACUCAUAACUUCAUUUUGCGUUCUCAAUUUUUAAUUUCCCAACUUUACUAGUGUCAAUCUGGAAACGCCAAUCUUAACUUAAAACUGGGAACAUUUAUAUUAACUAGCAUUUGAGAAGAGCUGCGAAGGUAUAUAAUCAUGGAGACAACAUCAAUCGAUAACUGACUAUGCCCUUUUUGUGUUUUAGAUUCAUUAGUUGUUUUGCACUUAAUUCUUAUUGUGGUUGGUGAAGCACAUGCCAUCUCUCUCUUUUUCUUUGAGGCGCCUCUGUUGAGGGUUGUAGCUGUUGCUUUAGAUUAUUGUAUUGUAGUUUAUAAUUAUCAACCAUCUGGAUGGUUGUAGCUAUUACUCUUGUCUGUGUUGUCUAUAUAGUAUAAAGCUGUAGCAUGGUUGUAAUAGAUCAGCUAUACAGUAGAUGGUUGGUUUCUUAUUGGAUUCGGAGGAGUCCCUGCAAGCAGAGUAUUUUUUCCUUUUAUUGAGUGGAGGCUGACUGAAUUUCCUUGGAGGCUGUCUCUGUCCUCUUGGAGGCCGACUGUGUUUGAUGUUCUGCUGCUGCCGCUGCCCGUGAUCAAAUUUUGCUGCUUGACAAGUGAAUGUUCGCAAGGAUAAUAGUCCACUUUGGUGCUGUGAUGCCGAUGUGCGUUUUUUCCUAUGAGCAUGUACUUCAUUCGUCUCUCCAAAUGUAGUCACUGAAGAUAAUUGUCAAGUAAGCUGCAAUUAACUUCAGCUGUUCUCUUUAUGUUCUUGCAAAGUACUCUAUGCUAAGCAGGGUAACGUAGGUUGUUAGAUUUUACUUGGGCUCACUGUUACUCAGUUAAUCUAGAUAUUAUAACUUCUGUUGUUUGUUCUCUCUAUAUUUUGAUUGAUUCCUUUGUGGUA